UACGUAGGCAGCAAGCGUUGUUCGGAAUUACUGGGCGUAAAGCGCGCGUAGGCGGACCUGCAAGUCGGGGGUGAAAGCCCGAGGCUCAACCUCGGAACUGCCUUCGAUACUGCGGGUCUCGAGUCCGGGAGAGGUGAGUGGAAUUCCUAGUGUAGAGGUGAAAUUCGUAGAUAUUCGGAAGAACACCAGUGGCGAAGGCGACAUACUGGGUCAUGACUGACGCUGAGGCUCGAAAGCGUGGGGAGCAAACAGG
rnacentral:rRNA from 1 species